ensembl:lncRNA
UGAGAUAGAACUCUGAUGUCACUUUUACUGUUGUUCUCAUUCUGAGAUAGAACUCUGAAAUAUUCUAAUUUACAUGUGAAUAUGUUAACCUGAUCAACAAUGGGUGGAAGAAUCUACGAUCCGCGUACCGGAAGUAAUUCUAAUUGAUGAUAGGUUAAGAUCAAGUCACCUGACCGGAACAGUAAAAACUAUUUUUUUGAUUGGCUAAUACGAGGACCUUUACUUUUUGGUUGAGCUACAAUGUCGAUUGCCUGACAUUUAAACAAUAAUUUUUUUUUCAUUAUUCUGUGACUUUUAAUGUUGUUCUCAUUCUGAGAUAGAACUCUGAAAUAUUCUAAUUUACAUGUGUUAGGGUGAAGCCACUCCCAUAUUAUUGACUACUCACUGUUUAUGUGUAAAUUCAUCAUAUCCAGGUUAUCAGACAGUAGGGGUGUAAUAUUCAUUUCACAGAUCAUUGGAAAAUUAUUCAAUGAAACAUUUUAUCUGAUUUGUCUUUCGUAUUUAUUGUCCAAAAGCAAUUAAAGCUCUCAAAUUUCACACAAUAAUUUACAACAAUCUUGAAUGUCAAGAACUUUCACAAAGUUUGUUUUCAAAUGUUUCCUCAGGAAACACAGUACUCUCCAAUUAGAGAGGGUAGGACAUAUUACUCAAAAAGAGUACAUACUGCUAACAUGGCAGGAAAAAUAUGAACACAUGAAAACACAUGUAAUUUCAGAUAUUGCACACAAAUAUGCUAAGGAAUAUGGUACAGAACAAUAUUCUCGUUUGCAUUAAAUUCACUUCAUCCUUCUGCAUAAAUGGAUAGCUUCAUAGAAGUUAUAAUUGUAGUUCUGGAACUCACUUACACAAAAUGAGCCAUAAAUGUACGACAAUCUUGAAUGUCAAGAACUUUCACAAAGUUUGUUUUCAAAUGUUUCCUCAGGAAACACAGUACUCUCCAAAUAGAGAGGGUAGGAUAUAUUACUCAAAAAGAGUUAUAAUUGUAGUUCUGGAACUCACUUACACAAAAAAAGAUAAAAGAUAUACAGAGUUCUUCAUGUCACCAAAAUAAGAGCUUUUUUCAAAUGAAAGCAUCUCAUAAGAAAAUUGGCAAUAAAAAACACUUUCUGUCAUGGAAUAGACUUUCCAUUCGUGAAAGCAAAUCAUAAUAUUUCUACACGUGUAGAAUAGGAGGGACACAAUCCCUACAUCAUUAGAAUUACUGUCCAUGUCAGUCACAGACUGACAAGAGGAAUUCUGUUGGUCAACAG